ACCAGAUGAAGCAUUCGAGCUGUUUACUAAGUGUCGCACGUGUUAUUUUUGAAAGAUAAGUUAAUUUUUGAACUAUCGAAAACAUGAUGCAGAUGAUGUUGAGGGUGCUGCCGGAUUCGGCCGACGAAAGUCUCAAGGCUUCACAAUUUGCGCCAAAGUCAGAGCUUACUUCGCCUAACGAUAAGAGAAAUUAUGACGGAUAUCGUUGCUCGAGGGGAACUCAGUACUCAAAAAUUUUCAUAACGAAAUAUCGUUUUCAUACUUAGCGGCUCCAUGUACCUAAAAGAGCUGUGCCGAAAUCUCAAAGAUUUGCUGUUCGUCAAUGUGUAUCUUGAUUUUGGUCGGCGCCCAUCGAAACGAACAGCAAAGAAGAAACGACCAACCCCGACGCUUGAUUUUCUUGUUUUCUUAUUGUGAAUUUCUUUCCAAACUAUUGUUAUUCUUUUGUGAAUUGCAAAUUUACUAUGGCGAAAUAUGUAUGCUAUAAAGGCAACCUGGCCGAUAGGCUGUAGCGUGGACAUGGACCAGCUACUACUGUUAAUUAAGGACGAAUCAUUAGGAUGUUUAAUGCUCGGAUCGGAUCUGUACGAAGAUGAGAUUAGCUCCAUUGAAGAUCGUCGAUUGAUGACCAAUUUGUAUAUUUGUUGAGUAUGAUUGUGAAUUACUAACCAUGAGCUGAAAUUUAUAAUUUAAUUGCCACACGUCACUUAGAAUUAAAUCUGACGGUUUUUAAUUGUUUUAAACCAAACAUUCAGUCUAUUUCUCCUCUCGGACCCAAAGAAACUUCUAUUCGUUAGAUGGCAUCCCUAUCCUUUUAUUUGUUAAAUGGCAACCUAACGAAUAGAAGUUUCUUUGGGGCGAGAGGAGAAAUAGACUGAAUGUUUUGUUUAUAACAAUUAAGCGAGAGAGUCGAAACAGCAAGAGAACCAUCACCUGAAGAAGCAGAAGGCCGAAAAUCAGCACACACAACCAAGAAGAGCGAAGAAAAUUAAAAGAUAGGGGCCCAUUUGAAUGGUCGAAUAUAAUUAUAGUCACUGUAAGUGAAUAAUGGAAGAGAGUUUGGAAAAGAAACAAAACUGUACCAUAUUGGGUCGAUUGGAAAUAAAAGGCUCAAUCA